rnacentral:ncRNA from 1 species
GAAAGGUUCCACAGGCACAAAGGGUUGGUUCCUGGCUUUAUUUUCAGGUAUAGCCCGAUUUAUACAUGCAAGUAUUCGCAUCCCUUUGAGAAUGCCCUCAAUCCCCUGCCCGGGGACGAGGAGCAGGCAUCAGGCACACCCACCUGGCCCAAGACGCCUUGCUACGCCACACCCCCAAGGGACUUCAGCAGUAAUAAACAUUAAGCCAUAAGUGCAAACUUGACUUAGUUAAGGCUAAAAGGGUCGGUAAAAUUCGUGCCAGCCACCGCGGUUAUACGAAAGACCCAAGUUGAUACACACGGCGUAAAGGGUGGUUAAGGAACACAAUAAAUAAAGCUAAAGACCCUCUAGGCCGUCAUACGCACUCCGAGGACACGAGACCCAAACACGAAAGUAGCUUUAAACAAACCACCUGACCCCACGAAAGCUAAGAAACAAACUAGGAUUAGAUACCCUACUAUGCUUAGCCCUAAACCCAGAUAUACUUUUACACACAUAUCCGCCCGGGUACUACGAGCACAGCUUAAAACCCAAAGGACUUGGCGGUGUCUCAGACCCACCUAGAGGAGCCUGUUCUAGAACCGAUAACCCCCGUUAAACCUCACCACUUCUUGUUUACCCCGCCUAUAUACCGCCGUCGUCAGCUUACCCUGUGAAGGCUUAACAGUAAGCAAAAUGGGCCCGCCCAAAAACGUCAGGUCGAGGUGUAGCGCACGAAGUGGGAAGAAAUGGGCUACAUUUUCUAAAAAAUAGAAUAUUACGAAUGACAUUAUGAAAAUUAAUGCCUGAAGGUGGAUUUAGUAGUAAAAAGCAAAUAGAGCGUUCUUUUGAAUUAGGCUCUGAGACGCGCACACACCGCCCGUCACUCUCCCCCGCACCCACAUCUUAUACUUAACAUUCAUAAUAACACAACCACAAGCACGGGGAGGCAAGUCGUAACAUGGUAAGUGUACCGGAAGGUGCACUUGGAAUAACCAGGACGUGGCUGAGAUAGACAAGCAUCUCCCUUACACCGAGAAGACAUCCAUGCAAGUUGGAUCGCCCUGAGCUAAACAGCUAGCCUAACCAUAUAAUUAACCAAAACAACAUUAAAACAUUUCAUAAAACCCAAACAACCUAAACUAAAACAUUUUACCGCCCUAGUACGUGAGACAGAAAAUACAACA